rnacentral:misc_RNA from 1 species
AACUUUUAACAAUGGAUCACUUGGCUCUCGCAUCGAUGAAGAACGCAGCGACAUGCGAUAAGUAAUGUGAAUUGCAGAAUUCAGUGAAUCAUCGAAUCUGUGAACGCACCUUGCACCCUUUGGCAUUCCGAAGGGUAUGCUCGUUUGAGUGUCAUUGUAUUCUCAUGCUCCCGAUGCUUUUGGAUCGGGAGUGGUGGACUUGGGUGUUGCUGCUUUACUGUGGCUCACCUCAAAUGGAGUAGUGCAACUCUAGGUUGGACAUAGUACGGCGUGAUAAGUGUCUUCGCCGGCGCCUCAUUAGAGGGUGGCCGAUCGGGAGCUCUAUGCUUCAAACCGCCUUCGGACAACAUCUGACAACUUGACCUCAAAUCGAGUAGGACUACCCGCUGAACUUAAGCAUAUCAAUAAGCGGAGGCU